GACGAACGCUGGCGGCGUGCUUAACACAUGCAAGUCGAACGGAAAGGCCCUGCUUUUGUGGGGUGCUCGAGUGGCGAACGGGUGAGUAACACGUGAGUGACCUGCCCUUGACUUUGGGAUAACUUCAGGAAACUGGGGCUAAUACCGGAUAGGAGCUCCUGCUGCAUGGUGGGGGUUGGAAAGUUUCGGCGGUUGGGGAUGGACUCGCGGCUUAUCAGCUUGUUGGUGGGGUAGUGGCUUACCAAGGCGUUGACGGGUAGCCGGCCUGAGAGGGUGACCGGCCACAUUGGGACUGAGAUACGGCCCAGACUCCUACGGGGGGCAGCAGUGGGGAAUAUUGCACAAUGGGCGGAAGCCUGAUGCAGCAACGCCGCGUGCGGGAUGACGGCCUUCGGGUUGUAAACCGCUUUCGCCUGUGACGAAGCGUGAGUGACGGUAAUGGGUAAAGAAGCACCGGCUAACUACGUG
rnacentral:rRNA from 1 species